CUGAGAGUUUGAUCCUGGCUCAGAGCGAACGCUGGCGGCAGGCCUAACACAUGCAAGUCGAACGGACUCUUCGGAGUUAGUGGCGGACGGGUGAGUAACACGUGGGAACGUGCCUUUAGGUUCGGAAUAAGCCCGGGAAACUGGGUCUAAUACCGAAUGUGCCCUUCGGGGGAAAGAUUUAUCGGGAAAGGAUUGGCCCGCGUUAGAUUAGAUAGUUGGUGGGGUAAUGGCCUACCAAG
rnacentral:rRNA from 1 species